UAAUUGGAAAGUGGGGUAUACUGCAAAGACAUAGCACGUUCCUCUCCAACCUGAAGGAAGAUUUUUAUAAGCCUUAUCUCCACACACAAAAUAGUGACCAGCUAAUGCAGGAAAUCCACCUGUAUUACAGCAUGGGGACAUCAUCCAUUGUGAAUAAUAGCCUGAAAAUUGACCUGCAGGGGAGUAGUUAGAUAUCCAGGAACUAUUAGAAAACCAAGUACCAUUUAUCUUAAAUUCUACCUUGCACUUCCUGACUCCUACUUCAACACGAGAUCCAUUACAGAUCCAACAAAAUUUUCCAGGGGUGGCAUAUGCUAAUCCUACAUAGUCAGACCAGUUGCAACUUACUUUCUGCCAGGUUUCAUUUCCAUGAAAAUCUGAAUA